rnacentral:rRNA from 1 species
CGGCGUCACGAGUGGCAAUCGCAAUUAUUGGGUCUAAAGCGUUCGUAGCCGGUUUGAUAAAUCUUUUGUGAAAUUGUACAGCUUAACUGUACAGCGUGCAAGAGACACUGUCAAACUUGAGACCGGGAGGAGUCAGAAGUAUUCCAGAGGGAGCGGUAAAAUGUUAUAAUCUCUGGAGGACUACCUGUGGCGAAGGCGUCUGACCAGAACGGAUCUGACGGUGAGGGACGAAAGCUAGGGGAGCGAAUCGGAUUAGAUACCCGAGUAGUCC